UACGUAGGGUGCGAGCGUUGUCCGGAAUUACUGGGCGUAAAGGGCUCGUAGGUGGUUUGUCGCGUCGUCUGUGAAAUUCCGGGGCUUAACUCCGGGCGUGCAGGCGAUACGGGCAUAACUUGAGUACUGUAGGGGUAACUGGAAUUCCUGGUGUAGCGGUGAAAUGCGCAGAUAUCAGGAGGAACACCGAUGGCGAAGGCAGGUUACUGGGCGGUUACUGACGCUGAGGAGCGAAAGCAUGGGUAGCGAACAGGAUUAGAUACCCUGGUAGUCCAUGCCGUAAACGGUGGGCGCUAGGUGUGAGGGUCUUUUCACGACUUUCGUGCCGUAGCUAACGCAUUAAGCGCCCCGCCUGGGGAGUACGGCCGCAAGGCUAAAACU
rnacentral:rRNA from 1 species